UACAGAGGAUGCAAGCGUUAUCCGGAAUGAUUGGGCGUAAAGCGUCUGUAGGUGGCUUUUUAAGUCCGCCGUCAAAUCCCAGGGCUCAACUCUGGACAGGCGGUGGAAACUACCAAGCUGGAGUACGGUAGGGGCAGAGGGAAUUUCCGGUGGAGCGGUGAAAUGCUCAAAUAUAUAGAGGAACACCAAUUGGCGAAGGCAGUUAACUAUUCGACUCCUGACGUUGAGGCACGAAAGCGUGGGGAGCAAGACGG
rnacentral:rRNA from 1 species